rnacentral:rRNA from 1 species
UCGGGAAUCUUGCGCAAUGGGCGAAAGCCUGACGCAGCGACGCCGCGUGAGUGAUGAAGGCCUUCGGGUUGUAAAGCUCUGUGGGGAGAGAAGAAUAAGUGCGGGCUAAUACCCCGCAUGAUGACGGUAUCUCCUUAGCAAGCACCGGCUAACUCUGUGCCAGCAGCCGCGGUAAGACAGAGGGUGCAAACGUUGUUCGGAAUUACUGGGCGUAAAGCGAGUGUAGGCGGUUUGGUAAGUCGGAUGUGAAAGCCCCGGGCUCAACCCGGGAAGUGCAUUCGAUACUGCCAAGCUAGAGUAUCGGAGAGGUUGGUGGAAUUCUCGGUGUAGAGGUGAAAUUCGUAGAUAUCGAGAGGAACACCGGUGGCGAAGGCGGCCAACUGGACGAAUACUGACGCUGAGACUCGAAAGCGUGGGGAGCAAACAGGAUUAGAUACCCCCGUAGUCCCUGAGCGGGCUGGCAAGGCGCAU